rnacentral:rRNA from 1 species
AUGCCCUACGACGGGAGUGCGAUGACCUCGUUCCCAUCAGCGCCGCCGCCAUCCCAGGGCGUCCACAUCCAGCAGAUCAAGUCCCCGCCGUCGCCGUCAGCGCUUCCGUCUUGGAUUGCUACCCGCCACGUGUUGGCGGCGGUGAGGCUGCAGGCUGCUGCGCGCGGCCUCCUAGCGCGUCGGCGUGUGCGGGAGAUGCGUGGUCUGCAGCUGUCGCUCCUCCAAGUUGCCCUUCGCUGUGCAAAGGACCUCGAUCUCGUCCACUGUGUCGGGGAUCUUGGGCAUGCGGUUUCCCCCAUGGGCGGCGGACAUGCUGUUUUCCCCGCGGGUAGCGACCUCAAAGUCUGCGACAUCGGCGGUUGGGGGGGGCACCCCUUCUCGUCAUUCUCCAUCGCAAGACCUCCACUCUUCCCUGUGCGGUGCAGACCAAUAGUCGUCCGGCGGGGAGAAGGCAGGGUGUCACCGAUAGGAGUGCACAGCGGUGCACCACUGCUUUCCGCCGCCGGCCGCCGCGAGGGCGCCUUUGCUGGUCGCUCUUGCGACCACUUCCAGGUGGCCAUACACAUGCACUCCUUUGGUCCAGGUGGUGUCCAUGGGAUCCAGGUGGCUAUACACGUGCACGUCCAACGUGCGGAUGGUGUCCACUUUUUGUUGAGGGGUUCCAAAAUAAAGCGUCCCAGUCCAUUUCAGGUUGAGAGUCAUAAAACAAGCCGAGAUGUAAAAGGCUUGUUUUUAGGUGUUAGGUUUGUGUUGCGUCGAGUCAUGGUUAUAAGUUGGUUAGGCUGCAGCUCGAGGACAAGUUGUAUGUCCAGGUGGGGUGUAGUGUUAGAGUAUGUAAUGGGCCUGGGCUGGCGGUAUAGCCCAUUAGUCUUAGGGUUAAUUAGAGAUAAGGGUCGCUUGCUUAGGGGUCAAGUAAGCCUUGCUUGGGAGUCAAGUAAACCUCUCUAUAUAAAGAGAGGAGAUGUAUCAAUCUAA